GCCUGGCCAGCUCAGUCAGUGGAGCAUGAGACUCUGGAUCUCCGAACUGUGAGUUCAAGCCCCACGUUAGGUG
rnacentral:tRNA from 1 species